UACCGGCAGCCCCGAGUGAUAGCCACUAUUAUUGGGCCUAAAGCGUCCGUAGCCGGUUUGGCAAGUUUCCUGUGAAAUCUCUCCGCUUAACGGAGAGGCGUGCAGGGGAAUACUACCAGGCUAGGGAGUGGGGGAGGUCAGAGGUACACUAGGGGGAGCGGUAAAAUGCUGUAAUCCUUGGUGGACCACCAGUGGCGAAGGCGUCUGACCAAAACACGUCCGACGGUGAGGGACGAAGGCUAGGGGAGCAAAUCGGAUUAGAAACCCCGGUAGU
rnacentral:rRNA from 1 species